rnacentral:rRNA from 1 species
UACAGAGGUGCCAAGCGUUAGGCGGAAUCACUGGGCUUAAAGCGCGCGUAGGCGGAUGUUUAAGUGUCUUGUGAAAUCCCACGGCUCAACCGUGGAACUGCUGGGCAUACUGAACAUCUCGAGGCACUCAGGGGCGAGCGGAACAAGUGGUGGAGCGGUGAAAUGCGUAGAUAUCACUUGGAACGCCAAUGGUGAAGACAGCUCGCUGGGGGUGUCCUGACGCUGAGGCGCGAAAGCCAGGGGAGCGAACGGG